rnacentral:rRNA from 1 species
UACGAAGGGGGCUAGCGUUGUUCGGAAUUACUGGGCGUAAAGCGUAUGCAGGCGGAUCAUUAAGAUCGGGGGUGAAAUCCUGAGGCUCAACCUCAGAACUGCCUUCGAUACUGAUGAUCUUGAGUCCGGGAGAGGUGAGUGGAACUGCGAGUGUAGAGGUGAAAUUCGUAGAUAAUUCGCAAGACACCAGUGGCGAAGGCGGCUCACUGGCCCGGUACUGACGCUGAGAAUACGGAAAGCGUGGGGAGCAAACAGG